CCUGGUGGCUCAGAUGGUAAAGCAUCUGCCUACAAUGCAGGAGACUCGGGUUCAAUCCCUGGGUCAGGA
rnacentral:tRNA from 1 species